rnacentral:rRNA from 1 species
UACGUAGGGAGCAAGCGUUGUCCGGAAUCAUUGGGCGUAAAGCGCGCGUGAGGUGGCUUCGUAAGUCCGUUGUGAAAGUCAAGGGCUCAACCUUUGAAAGCCGAUGGAUACUGCGGAGCUUAGAGUACGGAAGAGGCGAGUGGAAUUCCUGGUGUAGCGGUGGAAUGCGCAGAUAUCAGAGGAACACCAAUAGCGAAGGCAGCUCGCUGGGACGUUACUGACGACUGAGGC